rnacentral:rRNA from 1 species
CACGCAGGCGGUCUGUCAAGUCGGAUGUGAAAUCCCCGGGCUCAACCUGGGAACUGCAUCCAAAACUGGCAAGCUAGAGUAUGGUAGAGGGUAGUGGAAUUUCCUGUGUAGCGGUGAAAUGCGUAGAUAUAGGAAGGAACACCAGUGGCGAAGGCGACUACCUGGACUGAUACUGACACUGAGGUGCGAAAGCGUGGGGAGCAAACA